GAAGACAAGAAACAAUGUUAUUGGCCCCCAUUCAAAUCACCACAGAAGUGCAUGGAAGCUGUUGAGAACCAUCUUGAGCCUUCAACAGGAUGGAAACCAUGGGAGAAAUUAGCUAUUCUGUUUCAAUCAGAAUAUGGCACUUAUGAGCAGGCCAAGGAAAAGCAAGCAGAAAUGAGUGAGCAGAAAGAACAACCUGUAACACAAAACAUUCGAGCAAUAGAAACAUCUCCACUGUUUCCUGGGCCAUCACAG